rnacentral:rRNA from 1 species
AGAGUUUGAUCAUGGCUCAGAACGAACGUUGGCGGCGUGGAUUAGGCAUGCAAGUCGAACGAAUCCCGGCGGGGGGUAACUCUCGCCGGGGGAAGUGGCGAAAGGGGCAGUAAGGCGUGGGUAACCUACCCCGGGGACCGGGAUAGCCUCCCUAACGGGAGGGUAAUACCGGGCGAUCUGACUCAGGGGCCUCCCUGGAUCAGGAGAUGAGUUUCGCCUCGGGAGGGGCUCACGUGGUAUUAGCUUGACGGCGGGGUAACGGCCCACCGUGGCCAAGAUGCCUAGCGGGUGUGAGAGCACGACCCGCGCCACUGGCACUGCGACACUGGCCAGACUCCUACGGGAGGCUGCAGUCGAGGAUCUUCGGCAAUGGGCGCAAGCCUGACCGAGCGACGCCGCGUGCGCGAUGAAGGCCUUCGGGUUGUAAAGCGCUGUCGAGGGGGAGGAAAGCCGCAAGGCCUGACCUAUCCCUGGAGGAAGCACGGGCUAAGUUCGUGCCAGCAGCCGCGGUAAGACGAACCGUGCGAACGUUGUUCGGAAUCACUGGGCUUAAAGGGCGCGUAGGCGGGCCUCCUUGUCCGGGGUGAAACCUUUCGGCUCAACCGGAAACGUGCCUCGGAAACGGGGGGCCUCGAGGGAGGUAGGGGCGGCCGGAACUUCCGGUGGAGCGGUGAAAUGCGUUGAUAUCGGAAGGAACGCCGGUGGCGAAAGCGGGCCGCUGGAUCUCUACUGAGCUGAGGCGCGAAAGCCAGGGGAGCGAACGGGAUUAGAUACCCUAGUAGUCC